rnacentral:misc_RNA from 1 species
GUUUUGAAGAAUGUGGAGAAGUACAGAGUGACCCAUUUGUGGAUUGUUCCUCCAGUAAUACUUGCUUUGGCUAAACAGAGCUCCGUUAAGAAGUACGAUCUCUCAUCACUGCAGCAUGUUGGUUCUGGUGCGGCUCCUUUGGGGAAAGAAUUGAUGGAGGAAUGUGCCAAGAGGAUUCCUCAUGCUGCAGUUGCUCAGGGUUAUGGCAUGACAGAGACCACUGGUAUUGUUUCAGUGGAAAAUCCAAGAAUAGGUAUUCGACAUUCUGGUUCAGCUGGAAUACUUGCUCCGGGAGUUGAAGCCCAAAUAAUCAGUGUAGAUACGUUAAAACCUCUCCCUCCAAAUCAAUUGGGAGAAAUAUGGGUUCGGGGACCCAAUAUGAUGCAAGGAUAUCUCAACAAUCCCCAGGCAACUAAGCAGACCAUAGAUAAAAAGGGUUGGGUACAUACUGGAGAUCUAGGAUACUUUAACGAGGAUGGACAGCUAUAUGUUGUUGACCGUAUUAAAGAGCUAAUCAAGUACAAAGGAUUCCAGGUUGCACCAGCUGAACUUGAAGGGCUGCUUGUUUCUCACCCUGAAAUAUUAGAUGCUGUUGUUAUCCCCUUUCCCGAUGCUGAAGCUGGUGAGGUCCCAGUUGCUUACAUUGUGCACUCACCCAACAGUUCACUGACCGAAGAAGAUGUUUUGAAAUUUAUUGCUGAUCAGGUUGCACCUUUCAAAAGAUUACGAAGGGUGAAUUUCAUCAACAGUGUUCCUAAAUCAGCUGCAGGAAAAAUCCUCAGACGAGAGCUCAUUGAGAAAGCAAAAUCUAAGAUAUGAUCUCAUUUAAUUGCUUUUCAGUUGGAUACUUUGUGAAUCAAAGGCAUAAUCUACAGGACAAUAUUGCAGCUUGCUUAAAGUUGCAGAUAUCUCUACUUGUUCUUUGCGUCCAUCUUCA